rnacentral:lncRNA from 1 species
CCAGGUUGUUGUUCAUGGAUUUCUAUAUGUUUCUUAGAAACCUGGAAACAUGUUACAGUUAGAGAAACUCCUACAGUGGCUCUCCUGGACCUGACCCAGCUUUCACAAUUUUGCUAGUCGUAUUCCGUUGCUCACCACCAGAGGGCACUGUUCUCCCCACACACGGGGCAGGGUCCUCAUAGGCCCGAGGAAAGCUCACUGCAGCCGGUUUGCAGAAGGCAGAAGCUGAGCAGAGAGCGUGGAUGUACGUGGGGAGGCAGUGCAGGUGGGGUCUGUGGGGUGGAUGGUGCAGGUGGGAUGUAUGUGCGGGGGCGGUGCAGGUGGGGUCUGUGGGGUGGAUGGUGCAGGUGGGAUGUACGUGGGGGUGGUGCAGGUGGAUGUACAUGGGUUGGUGGUGCAGGGGGUUGGGGUGGGUGGUGCAGAUGGGGUCUGUGGCGGUGCGAUGGUGGCAGGUGGGAUGUACGCGGGGGUGGUGCAGAGGGUGGGUCUGUG